GAUGAACGCUAGCGGCAGGCUUAAUACAUGCAAGUCGAGGGGUAGCAAGAUUGUAGCAAUACAAUUGUUGACGACCGGCAAACGGGUGCGGAACACGUACACAACCUUCCUACAAGUGGGGAAUAGCCCAGAGAAAUUUGGAUUAAUACCCCGUAACAUAGCGAUGUGGCAUCACAUUGCUAUUAUAGCUUCGGCGCUUGUUGAUGGGUGUGCGGCUGAUUAGAUAGUUGGCGGGGUAACGGCCCACCAAGUCUACGAUCAGUAGCUGAUGUGAGGGCAUGAUCAGGCACACGGGCACUGAGACACGGGCCCGACUCCUACGGGAGGCAGCAGUAAGGAAUAUUGGACAAUGGACGCAAGUCUGAUCCAGCCAUGCCGCGUGAAGGAUUGAGGUCCUCUGGAUUGUAAACUUCUUUUAUAAGGGACGAAAAAAGGUCUUUCUAGAUCGUCUGACGGUACCUUAUGAAUAAGCACCGGCUAACUCCGUGCCAGCCGCCGCCGUAAUAC
rnacentral:rRNA from 1 species